UCAUUUUUUGAUUGUGCCGCUUCAGAGUGUGUAUUCUGCAAACAAAAGAACCACCUUCAGUAAACACAUCUCAAAGAUGCAAUUUUUUUUGGGGACAAUGAUCAAGAGAAAUUUGUGGUGGCCUGCUUCUGCAAAGAUGGAAAACAAGCAUCCAGAAGCCAUUACCAUUGUCCAUUUAGUAAAUUUAUCAUUUUUACACGUUCAGGGACCUUCAUGAGGCAUUUAAAAGGCAGACAUGGUAUCGAAUCAGCCAAAAAGCAAGAGAAGCCAAGCACUUCAAAGCCAACACAGAUGACUCCAU